CGUGGCGCGGGCGCCCGGUUCGCGGCCUUGGAAUAGGAGGGGCGGUCUAGCCCGCCGCCAGCGUCGCCGCCAUGGACUUAGGACCCUUGAAUAUCUGUGAGGAAAUGACUAUUCUGCAUGGGGGCUUCUUGAUGGCUGAGCAGCUGUUCCAUCCCAAAGCUCUGGUACAGUUAACAAAGUCUGAUUGGGAACACGUGGGACAGCCCAUUGUGGAGGCCUUGAAGGAGAUCUCCUCAGCCACCGCACAUUCUCAGCCAUUUGCCUGGAAGAAGAAAGCACUGAUCAUCAUCUGGGCCAAGGUUCUUCAGCCCUCCCCUGUCAGCCCUUCUGACACUGAUACUCGGUGGCAGGAAGAUGUGUUCUUCUCCGUGGGCAACAUGAUCCCUACCAUCAACCACACAGUCCUUUUUGAGCUGCUCAAGUCUCUGGAAGCUUCUGGACUCUUCAUUCAGCUCCUAAUGGCCCUGCCUACCACCAUUGGACGCUCAGAACUACAGAGCUUUCUGGAGCACUUGACUAUUGAUACUUCUUCCAAGGAUGUGGCCUUCUUCCUAGAUGUCUGGUGGGAAAUGAUGAAGCACAAGGGUGACCAGCAGGACCCCUUGCUUUCCCAGUUCAGGACGAUGGCCCAUAAAUACUUACCAUCCUCAGACGAGUUUUCCCAUCCUCCAAAGAGGUUUAAGUCUGACCCAGAUGUAGGUCCCAUCAUGCCACUUUUGGCCAUGCUGCUUAACGGGCUGAAGCAGAUCCAAAAGAGAAUCCUGUCCCUUGGAAUGAAGUGCUGUGCAUUAGCUAACUUGGCUGACAUGCUGAGUGUGUUUGCACUGAUGGAGGAUGACACCCAGGAGGUGUCUGCCACUGUGUACCUAGACAAACUCGCUACAGUGAUCUCUGUGUGGAAUUCGGACACCCAGAACCCAUACCAUCAACAGGCCCUGGCAGACAAGGUAAAGGAGGCAGAGCGAGAUGUGAGUCUCACCUCACUGGCCAAACUCCCCAGUGAGACUGUUUUCAUGGGGUUUGAGCUUAUGUACAACCUGCUGCAGGAGUGGGGUGCAGAGCUGCAGGGCAUGCUCAACAGCAGUCAGGGAACAAAUUAUGACACAUACCGGCUGUGUGACAGUCUGACUUCCUUCAGCCAGAACUUGGAGCUCUACCUGGAUACUACCAACAUGCCUAAGGAAGAGAGGGAGGUGGUCUCGGAAUUGGCUGAGUGUGUCAGGGACUUCCUGAGGAAAACCAGCAGAAUGCUGAAUGACAAGGGCCUUGAGGACAUCACUGCCUCCAUUGCCAUGGCCAUCAUUGAACAGAAGAUGGACCGGCACAUGGAAAUGUGCUACAUUUUUGCUUCUGAGAAGAAGUGGGCCUUUUCAGAUGAGUGGGUUGCCUGCCUGGUUAACAACAGGUCUCUCUUCAGAGAACCAGACUUGGUCUUGAGUCUGCUGGAAACAGUGAUUGAAGUCAUCAACUCUAAUAAGGUUAUCCCCCAGACUCAGAUCAAGCAGGUAAUCUGCUUGACCCUGCAAUGCUAUGAAGACCUCUCUCUUCCAGACAAAAAUAAAGUUCUUUCUGGUAUCCUGCAUUAUUUGGGGCCAAAGGGCCUCUCAGACAGGUUGUCUGAUUACUUGGAGGGUUUCCAGGAAGACCUCAAUACAACAUUUAACCAGCUUGCACAGAGUACCUCUGAACAGGGCCUGUCUAAAGCUGUGGCCUCUGUGGCCCACCUGGUUAUCCUGAACCCAGAAGUUGUGGUGAAGAAGAUGUGUAGCCUAGCUGUGACCAAUCUUGGUACACAUAGGUUCCUGGCUCAGAUUCUCACUGCCUUCCCUGCCCUGAAGUUCACAGAAGAACAAGGGCCAAAUCUAUAUACUAGUUUCAUGGUGUCCUGCCUCAAAGAAACUGUCUGGACCAAGUUCUCUACACCCAAAGAAGAGAAACAGUUUCUGGAGCUGGUAAGCUGCCUGAUGAAUCCUGUGAAACCACAGGGGAUUCCAAUUGCUGCUCUUCUGGAGCCAGAUGAGGUGCUGAAGGAGUUUGUCCUACCUUUCUUGAUGCUAGACAUGGAGGAAGUAGGCCUGAGUCUGAAGCUCUUCAUCCAGACCCUUGAAGCCAAUGCAGGCUUGGAAGAGUAUUGGCUGCAGACCUGCUCCCCAUUCCCCCUGCUCUUCAGCUUGUGCCAGCUCCUGGACAGCUUUAGCAAGUUCUGGCAGCUCCCACGGGAGAAGCGCUUCCUCACUCUGGACAGCAAGGAUCUUGUGACCCACAUUCUAGAGCUCCUCUGUGAGAUUGUGCUAGCCAACACAGAAACCUUCUCCCCAGACACCUGGGCCAAGUCUCUGUCCUGGCUCCACCGCAAAUUAGACCAGCUAGAUUGGACUGUGGGCCUGAGACUGAAGAAUUUCUUUGAAGGCCACUUCAAGUGUGAGGUGCCAGCUACCCUUUUUGAGAUCUGUAAGCUUUCUGAGGCCCAGUGGACCUCACAAGCCCACGAAGGUUAUGGGCCUGGCACGGGGCUUCUCGCCUGGAUGGAAUGCUGUUCAAUCUCCAGCUGUAUCUCUGAACAGAUGCUUUCCCUCCUGGUGGUAGAUGUGGGCAAUCCUGAGGAGGUCAGAUUGUUUAGCAAGGGCUUUCUGGUGGCCCUUGUACAAGUCAUGCCUUGGUGUAGCCCCCAGGAAUGGCAGUAUCUUCAGCAGCUGACCAGGAAGCUAUUGGAGAAACAGCUUCUUCAUGUCCCUUACAGUCUAGAGUAUAUCCAGUUUGUUCCCCUGCUCAACCUGAGGCCUUUUGCCCAGGAACUUCAACUCUCUGUUCUUUCGUUGAGAGCUUUCCAGUUUCUUUGCAGUCAGAGCUGUUGUAACUGGCUUCCUUUGGACGGUUGGAGCCAUGUAGUCAAACUCCUCUGUAGUAGUCUGACCAGUGUCCUGGAUGCAGUCAGGUUGAUACAGUCAGUGGGUCCCUGGGCCCAGGGACAAGAAGGAGAUCUUACUCAGGAAACCUUGUUUGUCUAUACCCAGAUGUUCUGUCAUGUUCUGCAUAUCAUGGCCAUGCUCCCGCAGGAGGUCUGUGAACCCCUCUACGUGCUGGCCUUGGAAAUCCUUACCUGCUAUGAGACCCUAAGCAAAACCAACCCUUCUGUCAGCUCCUUGCUCCAGAAGGUAGAUGAGCAGCGCUUCUUAAAGUCUAUUGCCAAGAACAUUAGCCCUGAGGAGCGGCGCCAAACCCUGCUACAAAAGAUCAACAACCUCUGACCCGUGGAGGGCAGAACAAAGCUAUGCAUCCAACACGGUGUUUCUGCAGGGCCCAGAGCUAAGAACAAACCUUGUUAUGAGAAUGGACACAGGGAAAGGAAUACAAGAGCAGUGUAAAGAAAUAGUUUCUUAGGCAGGCUUCUACCCUCCCAACUCCUAAUUGGGAUCCACCAGAGGAAGAGAAACUUGAAGUUACACGUGAACACUGAGCUUGAAUUCUGGGCACCUUCCGUGUAGUGUAUCCUUUGGUACCUUGAACCAACAUGUUGGAUGAAGGUAUGAGUAAGACCUGCCUGGAGGCCAUUCGCCUUCCGUAACCAGACUAGGAAUUACCGAACACAGCACUUAGGCUGGGUCUCUGAUGUUUGGGGAAGUCAGCACCAGUGCACGUAACAAAUAUAGAAUUUAGUGCAAUUUAAUUACCAUAUGGAUCACUUGUGUAUACAGUAAACAGAACAAAAGACACAAAACAGCAUUUUUAAAUGGUUUUUAAAUGGCACCUAUUAAAGACUGAAACUCAAAAAUCGAGACACAACCAUCCGGUCCUUUAGAAGUCCACAGACAGUGAAUUAUAAGGCACUGUAGUGUUUUUGCUGCCACCUGAAGUGGCAGUAGGUCCUCUCAGACCCAAUCUGUGGUGGAGGAUGAUCAGUGCUACACCACAUCCUACUGCACACAGCUAAUGGCAUUGGUCCACAGGACAUGCUCUGGCUGGUCUGCC